UAACUCCAGCGAGACUGCCGAGAAGACUUGCGCGCAGGCGCGGCCCCGCCCUCCUCCUCGAGGUCGGCCGCGUGGCUGGCGGUCAUGGCUGCUUCCGUGCGGGCCCGGGUGGGCGAGCAGCCUCGGGCCUCAGGCCUUUGGCGAUGGCCUGCCUGGAGCAUCUGCAGAGACGGAAGCGGACUUGCAGGUUGAAGCCCGAGAGGAACGAAUGGAGCCCCGAAGUGAGGAGGAUGGCCGGGUUCAAGAUGUGGACUGUGGGCUGAGAAAAGUCACGUGAAAACCAUCAUUUUCAGAUGUUGAGUGUAAGGAUCUUCGUGAUGGAAACUUCUAUAAAUGGCCAGUCCAGCUUGGUUUCGGACCGAAACAGACCCUCCAGGAGAAGCCUCUGAGCGGCAAUGCCGCAGGGUGAGGCACAGAACUGAACGCUGUGCCCGAAGCAAGUGAGACGGUUCCUCCCGCUGUGACCUCCCAGGUGUGCCGGCUGGAUCCCCGCAGCCCCUGUUGCUAAUAGUGACGCCUGUAAAUGAUCCCAAAGGAGAAUCAUGUCAGAGCUCUGUGGACUUCAUC